rnacentral:rRNA from 1 species
CCUACGGGAGGCAGCAGUGAGGAAUAUUGGUCAAUGGCCGGGAGCCUGAACCAGCCAAGUCGCGUGAGGGAAGAAGGUAAUACGGGUUGUAAACCUCUUUUGUCAGGGAGCAAAGUGCAGGUCUAGUCCCGCUGUGAGAGUACCUGAAGAAAAAGCAUCGGCUAACUCCGUGCCAGCAGCCGCGGUAAUACGGAGGAUGCGAGCGUUAUCCGGAUUUAUUGGGUUUAAAGGGUGCGCAGGCGGGGUGAUAAGUCAGCGGUAAAAGCGCGGGGCUCAACCCCGGCGCGCCGUUGAAACUGGGGGCCUGGAGUGCGCGAGGGGUACGCGGAAUGCGCGGUGUAGCGGUGAAAUGCAUAGAUAUCGCGCAGAACCCCGAUCGCGAAGGCAGCGUACCGGCGCGCAACUGACGCUCAGGCACGAAAGCGUGGGUAUCGAACAGGAUUAGAUACCCCUGUAGUC